UAGUCCACGCCGUAAACGAUGUCGACCGGCCGUUGGGUGCCGUAGCGCACUUUGUGGCGAAGUUAACGCGAUAAGUCGACCGCCUGGGGAGUACGGCCGCAAGGUUAAACUCAAAUGAAUUGACGGGGGCCCGCACAAGCGGUGGAGCAUGUGGUUUAAUUCGAUGCAACGCGAAGAACCUUACCUACUCUUGACAUCCUGCGAAUUCGGUAGAGAUACCUUAGUGCCUUCGGGAACGCAGAGACAGGUGCUGCAUGGCUGUCGUCAGCUCGUGUUGUGAAAUGUUGGGUUAAGUCCCGUAACGAGCGCAACCCUUGUCCUUAUUUGCCAGCGCGUAAUGGCGGGAACUCUAAGGAGACUGCCGGUGACAAACCGGAGGAAGGUGGGGACGACGGUCAAGUCAUCAUGGCCUUACGAGUAGGGCGUACACACGUGCUACAAUGGUCGGUACAAAGGGUUGCCAACUCGCGAGAGUGAGCCAAUCCCGAAAAGCCGAUCUCAGUCCGGAUCGGAGUCUGCAACUCGA
rnacentral:rRNA from 1 species